GCCCAUGUAGCUCAAUGAAAGAGCAUCGCCUCUUCAUACCGCGCUAACUUGCCAUACUUACAGGCGAAGAUGUAGGUUCGAAUCCUGCCAUUGGUU